GAUGAACGCUGGCGGCGUGCCUAAUACAUGCAAGUCGAGCGGUAAGGCCUCCACAGUUUGCUGGAUCGAGACAGGUCGCGACUACGAAGUAGUCGCAUCACAAACGAAGUGAUGAACGAUCAAUCUCAUAGAUCAAGCAAAAUGUGGAGGUACACGAGCGGCGGACGGCUGAGUAACGCGUAGGAACGUACCCCAAAGUGAGGGAUAAGCAUUGGAACAGUGUCUAAUACCGCAUGUGCUCGAUAGUUUAAUACCUAAAGAGUAAAGCUUUAUGCGCUUUGGGAGCGGCCUGCGUCUGAUUAGCUUGUUGGUGAGGUAAAA
rnacentral:rRNA from 1 species